rnacentral:rRNA from 1 species
UACGUAGGGGGCUAGCGUUGUCCGGAUUUAUUGGGCGUAAAGAGCGUGUAGGCGGCCAGGUAGGUCUGGUGUGAAAACUCGAGGCUUAACCUCGAGAUGUCAUCGGAAACCAUUUGGCUAGAGUCCGGAAGAGGAGAGUGGAAUUCCUGGUGCAGCGGUGAAAUGCGCAGAUAUCAGGAAGAACACCAAUGGCGAAAGCAGCUCUCUGGGACGGUACUGACGCUGAGACGCGAAAGCGUGGGGAGCGAACAGG